CUUGGUCAUUUAGAGGAAGUAAAAGUCGUAACAAGGUUUCCGUAGGUGAACCUGCGGAAGGAUCAUUAUCGAUUGCGAAUCGUCACCUUCAGUGCUGGCCAGCUCUGGCAAGUGCACGUCAGUGACUUUCAUCCAAAACUCUGUGCACCAUUGGCCUCUGCUAGCUUCAGCCGGCAGAGGAAUUUUUACACAAACUCGAAUGUAAUGAAAUUUAUUGUUGUGCGCAAGCACUAAUGUACAACUUUCAACAACGGAUCUCUUGGCUCUCGCAUCGAUGAAGAACGCAGCGAAAUGCGAUAAGUAAUGUGAAUUGCAGAAUUCAGUGAAUCAUCGAAUCUUUGAACGCACCUUGCACCCUUUGGCAUUCUGAAGGGUAUGCUCGUUUGAGUGUCAUUGUACUCUCACACUUCCAAUCUUUGGAUUGGGAGCGGUGGACUUGGGUGGUUGCGGCUUUACUGUGGCUCACCUCAAAUGAAGUAGUGCAACUCUUGGUUGGACAUAGUACGGCGUGAUAAGUGUCUUCGCCGGCACCUCGUAACAGAGGGUGGUCGAUCGAGAGCUCUGUGCUUCAAACCGUCUUCGGACAAUGACUGACAACUUGACCUCAAAUCGAGUAGGACUACCCGCUGAACUUAAGCAUAUCAAUAAGCGGAGGA
rnacentral:rRNA from 1 species